GGAGGAUAAUCAGUAGCUUGGAAAUGGCAUUGCUCCUCUGGAUUUAGGUCAGGGAAUUUUCAGCCUGGAUCUCCUGAUGGCACUCCCACAGACUGUUGGAUAUUUAUUUUUUCCUCUUCUGCAUUUUUUUUGCUUCACAUUGGUACAGAAAAUAAAAGUCAAAACCUUUCAAGGCUAGUUUUUGUUAUAACAAAACAUUUCAGGUUUCCUAACCUGAUGUUACUAGAGUCUAGAAAUACUAGUAAGAAUUAAUAUAAAUGUGCGCAAGAGCAGGAAAUUUGCACAGAUUUUUAAGAAAGUAGUAUGUAAAAGUAAACCUCAUGUGACUGCUUUUUUCUUCUCAAGAGUCCAGUAAUUCUCUCAGUAGGGAUCUGAGAACCGAUAGGCAAUGUAUACAGAUUUCCUUUAUGCAAUUCAUAUGGACUAUUGAGUGGAUAUAUAACAUUUUGAUACUGGAGGGAAGUGAAAGGGACUGGAAUAUUUUAGCUUCUCAAGUUGAGCUACACCUGGUAGCUGGAAGGGGUUGGCAGUUAGGGGCAGCUGGGAGGAGAAGAGAUGAGCUGAAACCCCACACCUGUGCUCUCCUCAGAGGAAAGGGUCAUGUUUACUCUGAACAUUUGAUGAUAAAAUGUUCAGAGUCCUUUUUAAAAGUAAAUGGCUUUAACUGCAACAGCAUUAUAGGGUGUGGGCUUGUCAGAUAACAUGCAUCCUCCCGGACAAACGAGGUACAGCCUUUGCACACCUAAAGUUCUGUAUGUAGGUUGGCAAAUGCCAGGUGAGUACAGACCCUGCAGAGGACACAGUUGUGACAUCUGAGUUAAAGUAUACAAAACUGCAAGGUCAGGCUGGGUUUGACAAUAGUGGGAACAGAAAUGACCCUGCUUAGAAAUCUGAGCUUGAAUGUAUGUGUAGUGGAAAUACCGUUUCACCUGCUUAUUAGUGCAGGACCUGAUAAUGGAAGGUAGGUGAUUUAGGCUACUUAAUUCCUGGCUCCAUCAGCAACCUGUUUUAUGAUCUUGUGAUCUGUACAUAAUCCCACAACCUCUUGGUUUUUUCAUUUGCCAAAUAGGAGUCUUACCCUACUCUGUAAAGCAGGGAUUGGCAAUAUACAGCUCACGGGCUGAAUGUGGGCUGUAAAGCCCCCAGGCUCUUCCCUUGCUGCACUGCAGCUGGGCAGUGGAGAUGGUGGUGGUGGGAGCGGGUCACUGCAUGCCAAACUGUGCCACAGACAGCAAUAGGAGGGGGAUGUGCUUUGCAAGCACAGCCAGAUGGCUGGGACACUAGCAUGCUGGUGCUGCAGCUGGAUGGUGAGGUGAGGUUUGCAUGCUGUCACAGUUGGAUGGUAGGAAGCAGCAGUGGCAGCAGACCAAGCUGGAAACACUGUGCCACUUGGGAUCUGAAUAGGGUUGAUGUGGCCCAUUGCUGUAAAACCUUACUGACUCUGCUCUGGAACAUUUUGAGAUGUAGAAUGAAAAGUGCUGUAUUAGAGUGAAGUUAUUUAAUGAUACUUGGUGGAGGUGAUGCUUUGGAGCUUGAGCCAUUUCUGCUUGUUAGAUAUCCGCAUGAGAUCUAAGGUCAGGGGAUGGAUUCUUCCACUUUUGCCCCCUACCGGUUUCUUAAGCUUUUUGAAGCAUCUCUAGCUGGUCAAAAUUACAGGUUGGAUACUGGACCAGAUGUCUUCUGUCUGAUUCUGUAUGGUAAUUCCUGCAUUUCUUUCCAGGGAGGAGCUGCAAGGCUGAAGCAGUUCAUAAUUUCUGCCACAUGUGCCUUGUCACCUCACAGAAGCACAACACACUGGCUUCCAGACAUCUGGCUGCAUGGUGAGACUCCAGCAGUUAGGCAGAAAGGUGAAGGUUGCAGACCAGCAAUAUCAAUCUCUCUAAAAGAAAAAACGUGGUAUCUACAGAUGUGCCUGUGAUAGCUGUUUCAAUGGACUGUUCCUAUCUAUUGAAAACUUACCAU